GGUUGUAUAGUGUAGUGGAUAGCACGCCAGAUUCUGAUACUUUCGAUUUCUGGCGACCCCGGUUCGAUCCCGGGUACGACCU
rnacentral:tRNA from 1 species